rnacentral:rRNA from 1 species
UACGAAGGGGGCUAGCGUUGCUCGGAAUCACUGGGCGUAAAGCGCACGUAGGCGGAUUGCUAAGUCAGGGGUGAAAUCCUGGAGCUCAACUCCAGAACUGCCUUUGAUACUGAAGAUCUUGAGUUCGGGAGAGGUGAGUGGAACUGCGAGUGUAGAGGUGCAAUUCGUAGAUAUUCGCAAGAACACCAGUGGCGAAGGCGGCUCACUGGCCCGAUACUGACGCUGAUGCACGAAAGCGUGGGGAGCAAACAGG